GAUGAACGCUGGCGGCGUGCUUAACACAUGCAAGUCGAACGGAAAGGCUCCUGCUUGCAGGGGUACUCGAGUGGCGAACGGGUGAGUAACACGUGGGUGAUCUGCCCUGCACUUCGGGAUAAGCCUGGGAAACUGGGUCUAAUACCGGAUAGGACGAUGGUUUGGAUGCCAUUGUGGAAAGUUUUUCGGUGUGGGAUGAGCUCGCGGCCUAUCAGCUUGUUGGUGGGGUAAUGGCCUACCAAGGCGUCGACGGGUAGCCGGCCUGAGAGGGUGUACGGCCACAUUGGGACUGAGAUACGGCCCAGACUCCUACGGGAGGCAGGAGUGGGGAAUAUUGCACAAUGGGCGCAAGCCUGAUGCAGCGACGCCGCGUGGGGGAUGACGGCCUUCGGGUGGUAAACUCCUUUCGCUAGGGACGAAGCGCAAGUGACGGUACCGGGAGAAGAAGCACCGGCUAACUACGG
rnacentral:rRNA from 1 species